UGGUUUAAUUCGAUGAUACUCGAAGUACCUUACCUGGGCUUGUACUGUACUUUGAUCGGCGUAGAGAUACACCCUCCUUCGGGCAGGUGCAGAGGUUCUGCAUGGUUUUCGUCAGCUCGUGUCGUGUAGAUGUUGGGUUAAGUCCCGCAACGAGCGCAACCCUUACCCCUUGUUGCCAUCAGGUAAUGCUGAGCACUCUAGGGGAACUGUCGGUGAUAAACCGGAGUAAGGUGGGGAUGACGUCAAAUCAUCACGGCCCUUAUGUCCAGGGCUACACACGUGCUACAAUGGCCGGUACAAUGAGUUGCGAGACCGCGAGGUGGAGCUAAUCUCAAAUAACCGGUCUCAGUUCGGAUUGCAGUCUGCAACUCGACUGCAUGAAGCUGGAAUCGCUAGUAAUCGCGGAUCAGCACGCCGCGGUGAAUACGUUCCCGGGCAUUGUACACACCGCCCGUCACACCACCCGAGUUGCUAGCACCCGAAGUGGCUGAUCUAACUUCGUGAGGAAGG
rnacentral:rRNA from 1 species